GGUUGAUCCUGCCAGUAGUCAUAUGCUUGUCUCAAAGAUUAACCCAUGCAUGUGUAAGUAUAGUAGUAUACGGCGAAACUGCGAAUGGCUCCUUAAAACAGUUAUAAUUUAUUUGAUGGAUAUAGAGAUGGAUAACCGUAGUAAUUCUAGAGCUAAUACAUGCUUGAAAGCCUUGCUCUGUGAGGCUGUAUUUAUUAGAUAAAGCCAGCAUUUAGGUGAUUCAUAAUAACUUAACGGAUCGCGGACAUUGUCUGCGACAUGUCAUUCAAGUAUCUGCCCUAUCAGCUUUGAU
rnacentral:rRNA from 1 species